rnacentral:lncRNA from 1 species
GCCACACACACGGCAAUGAGCAGCAAGGCAACAUGCACCAUGGUGCGCGGAAGAUGUUGUCUUGGUGCCAUCUUUGCACAUGCGGAAGCGAACUUUCAAAUGGCAUUUACAAAACAUUGGGAAAACACUUUUUUUUCUUCCUAUUUUCUUCUAGAAAGUCUUUCCAGAACAUAUGUAUAUAUAUGUGUGUGUAUAUACAUAUAUAUUUGCAAAAUCUCUCGUUUAAAAGGUCUAUACAAGAACAUGUUCUAAAAGUUUUCUCGCUUCAAAUUCUGUUUACGAACUCUUUCCAAAACACUUCUUGGACGUUUCUUUUUGUUUUUGUUUUUGUUUUUUUCUUUGAAAAAUAAGAUAUUUUACAAAACUUUUGAAAAACUGCAUGAGCAAGGAUGUUGGCCACACACAGGGCAAUGAGCAGCAAGGCAACAUGCACCAUGGUGCGCGGAAGAUGUUGUCUUGGUGCCAUCUUUGCACAUGCGGAAGCGAACUUUCAAAUGGCAUUUACAAAACAUUGUGGAAAACACUUUUUUUUCUUCCUAUUUUCUUCUAGAAAGUCUUUCCAGAACAUAUGUAUAUAUAUGUGUGUAUAUACAUAUAUAUUUGCAAAAUCUCUCGUUUAAAAGGUCUAUACAAGAACAUGUUCUAAAAGUUUUCUCGCUUCAAAUUCUGUUUACGAACUCUUUCCAAAACACUUCUUGGACGUUUCUUUUUGUUUUUGUUUUUGUUUUUUCUUUGAAAAAUAAGAUAUUUUACAAAACUUUUGAAAAACUGCAUGAGCAAGGAUGUUGGCCACACACACGGCAAUGAGCAGCAAGGCAACAUGGCCACACACUCGUUAGUUGUGAGCUCAACUGGGAUUGAGAGUACAAUUGUCCCGCAUAUCAUUCAUUCCAUUAGCUAAUCGCUUCUGUUGCGAUCCUUGGUGGUUCAACCCAUUUGUUCUUUCAUAUCAAUCGUAGUACAACCCAAUCGCUCUUAAGUUGACUUCUCAUACUUAUAGAUUAUGAUUCUCAAUUAUUUGGCUAAGAUAACUUCCAUCGUUGAGCCUCCCUCUACUCAUUCCAAUCACAUUUCUUAACUUUGGUUUCUCUCAUUAUUUGUUGUCAUUUGCUCAACAAGUAUUUAUAUAAAUCAUCCCAAAUCAACUCCCACUUUUCAGAUUUCCAUGGAUAUAAAAAGAAAUGGUGGCUCAUCAUUCGUACCAUUUCUUUUGUUGAUGGGCAUGAAUUACGGGUCAUUAUGAACUCACCAACAAGCAACCAACCAUUUUGACUCCUUGUUAGUACUUAAAAGUUAACAACUUUAAUCAUCUUCUACUAGAUAAAAUAAGUUGUGUUUUCAAAGUUCAUGUGUAAAGCAAAAGAGAUUGUCUUAUAGUGACUUUAACAUAGAUUACACUCCCAUUGUGAAAUAAUAUAUAACUAUAUUUAUAUCAACUAUAUAUUACAUAUAUAACAAAACCCUAAAAUAAAGUUAAGUUGUCCAAAAUAACAAACUAGCGUCCUCCUUGAAAAAUUAUAAAAAUUUCAAGUUAGAUUGUCUUGGAUUUUAGGAUGUAUUAAGGCUAUCUCCAUGUAUUAGAGAAUAUAAGAAAUUCUAUUUAACAAUUUAAAAAAUUAUAAGAUUUUUUUGUAGCCUUAUCCUUGCAAUUGAAGUAGGAGAUUAAAUCCGAAACUCUUGUCGAAAUUGGGCAAGCAUGCUAGCCUGAAAAGAUUGGUUCCGUCGGAAAACAAGAGGGGUUGGUCAAUAUCGGUUUCAGAAAGUUUCAAAUUGAAAACUUUAAAAAAUUAUUUAUAAGUCGAUCAACCCAAUUAAUAUCAACUGACACUUACUCAUCAAUGUCGAUUUUGUAAAAAAUACCAUCUCCGACCGACCGAUUAACACCGAAGUCGGGAACUUACGCAUACUAGAUAAGUGUAGAGUAUAUAUAUCUUUUUCAAAUUUGAUUAAAUUACCAAAUAUUAUAUCCAAUUCUCUCUCUACCCUUUUUUUAUCUGCGUUCCCGCCCGCCGCUCGGUGAACUCAUUUGCGCAGCUCUUUCCUCUUUCUCUUCUUUGUCUUCCUCUCGGCUUCACAAUCUUCAUCGUCAAUCUUUGAUCCAGCCUAAGAAGGCGCUGUACAUUAUAGGGUUUUAAGUAGAAGGUGAGUUUUCAGAUUGCUUUUAUAUCUUCUGUCAAGCUAUGAUGCUUUUGGUACUUAUCGACCACUUUCUCAUGCAAGAAUAUUUGAGUUUGAGAAUUAUUUGCUGAAAUUUUUAUGGGUUUAUGGAGUAUUUUCUACUUUGUUUUGGCGGAGUUGAGUUUGCUUCUUAGGUGUAGAGAAGUUUGUUCAGUGUUGUUUUUGUUUUUGAGGCUACAACUCAAUGAAAAAACUCAUUGAGUUCAUGGAAUUAGGGUUUUAUCUUGUUUAAUGGGGAACAGGCAUGUUUGGUAUUGAUUUUGUGCAUUGUACUGGUAGUCGAGAUCGCAUUGCCAUCUUACAGUUGCUUAUUCUUUUUUUUCUUAUUUUCUUGAUAGUUAUUAGACAAUUGAAACCUCAUAAUUCAACCAAAAUGGCGGCCUUCAAUCUCGUUGCGGAUAUGUAUGACCCGGCCUUGAAGCCUCGCUUGCUACAUAAACUUCUUAGGGAGCACGUUCCCGACGAUAAGCGUGCAUUUUCUGAUUAUUCAGAACUUUCAAAUGUGGUUUCUAUGAUCACAUCCCACGAUCUUCUCUCUGAAUCCUCGUCUUCCAAGGACCAAAAGCUGAUUGAUAGCUGGAAAUCCGCUGUUGAUUCCUGGGUCAACCGUUUGUUUCUUCUUCUCUCCAACGAUAUGGUAUAAGCAUGCAUUAAAUUCUAUUUAAAUAAUUUUUUUAAUAAUACAUAGCUUUUGCUUUAUACUCCCGUGGAUUUGACUAUUUGUCGGCUGCCGGGCUUAUGUGUAGCUUGUUCGAAGAACAGCUGGAACGAAGUUCAGUGGAACUUGUUAAGUUUCAUAAUCAAUGAGUUCGCUGCUGGUUAUUGAGAGAAAAUUUAUAGUUAGUGUUAAUCUAGAAAGUUUGUCGCCUUAGAGCGCCCUUUGCGCUUUGAAAACACCGUUUAAUUCUUAGAAACUGAACAUUUGAACCUUGCUUGCAUAUUUGGCAAUUCAUUGGCAUGCAGGAAGAUAGGGAAUAAUAUUGACUGUCUUUAUUACUUUGUUUUUUAGAUAUUGCUCAACUUCCUUUUGUGGGUUACUAAUUUUAGCAUCCAAUCUUUCUAAAGCCUGAUAAAUGUUGGGCGGGAAUCAUUUUACUUGGAGUGACUUGUCAACGAUGCAGCUCUAGUCGUUUCUUGGCAUCAUAUACAGAAUGGCUUCACAAGCUUUUACCUCACAUGCAGGUAACAGUUAGUUUUUUAUGGGAUUGAUUCUAUAUUAUUUCUUUACAUGUAUUAAGUGGCAAAAAUGUUAAAUUAUAGUGUACACAUGAAGAAGAAUAAGAGUUAAAUGAUAAGUUAUUCCAUCAGAACUAAGAUACCGGUUACUGUUUGGGACACAUAACUGCAAUAAUUCAACUAUGCUUUUGAGCAUGUGAUGUGGCUGGAUCGUCUUUGACAGUCGACCUGUUUGACUACAGUAAAUAUGUUUGUUCUGAAAUUUGGGUAUGAUUGGUUGUAAGAUAUUCAUCAAAAUGAGUUCUGGACAUGAUUUGUGACAAUAAGUGAUUAUUGUUUCUUGGAAAGAAUGCAAAAUCACGCAUUGGGGGUUUCCAAGCUCUUAUUCUUUUCAUUAAUAUAGGAUUGAACAAGUAAGAUAAACUACGGAUGAAAUAGCAGGUCUAACCAGCUCUCCUCGUACAUGAGGGUCCCCAAAGACAUGCAUCGGGCAUGUAUCUGAUUAGCAUAAGAUAGCCUUUGGCAACACUUAAUGAUUGUGGAGCUACUGAAGGACCUAAUGCACUGCUAUUCUUGAGCAUGGUUAUCUGAUAUUUUAUCAAGUGUUAUACAAAGUGCAAUUUUUUUUUCUUCUGAAGACACAAAAGAAUAUAUUGAUCACAAAUAGUGUGUGACGUAGUUCCAGAGCAAUGUCAAGUUCCUUCUUUUUCUGUUCCUUUUAUUUAUAUUGUUUCUGUCUUUAGCUUUACAACUUAUAAUCAUCAAUGCUUUUUUUUAUACUUGAAUGCUACCAAGAAUUUUACAACGUUUUCAUUUUUUGUGUUUUUAUUGUUCAAUAGACAGAUUCUCAGUUUCUGAAGGUGGCCUCUUGUGCUUCAAUCUAUGAUUUAUUCUCGAGGUACAUCUUCAUUUGACCUUGGCAGAAAUCUAUCACACGAAGUUGUCCCUCAAACACAACCCUUUUUUUUAUUCGAAAUGGUAACAAUGUCAUUGAUAAGAUGAAAUUAUAAAAGGAUACCUAUCAAUUGGAUUACAAAAAACUCUUCCAUCGAGUAAUAAGAGAAACUAAAUCAUAAUUAUAAAAAGGGGUAACCAAUUCACCCCAAGUGAGGGUUGUAUGUGUCACUCAAACACAAAUUGAUUUGUUAACUAUACCCCUUCCAAAAGCGAAAUUUUUAUGUGCCUUGUGUAUAUUUAACUGAAUACCUCUUAGGAUUUGUUUAUUGUUGAUUCUACAUCGACUUUGUGGUCUGUGGAUUCAACUAUUGAAUGCUGACUUGAGAAUAAUAGAUAACUGAUUGAAUCACAUUCUGUAAGUUAUUACUGUCAAGUCGUUUUAUUGCCAAUAUGAGCAUAGAACUAUUGGUUAAGGCAUAUAUCCCACCUCCAUAUGUUGUUGAGCUUAAAAAUAAAAAUUGUCUAUUUAUUUAUUUUUUAAAAUAAAAUAACCACUUUCAUUGAGCAAAAUCAAAGAAAAUUGUCUAAAACUUUUAAGCAAUAUGCUUGACCAUAUUAUUGCUUGUUUCGUGACUUUUUAAGAUGUAUCUUUUACAAAUUAGAUUGGGUAGAUUUCAAAGUGUAAAGAAAGAUGGGACUUCUUGUGCUGGGAAGGUCAUUCAACCUGUUGCAUGAUGAUAAUACUGAAGCUGUUUUGGUAAGUCCAUUUUUCAUGGACUAUUUUCAUGCAUUCAUGAGCUAAAUAAUUUUGUAACAAUGGUAUUUUAAUUAUCUAUGCCAACUGAGAUCCUCUUUUGUAAAAAUUUCUUAGUCUUUUGUGAAAUUUUUCAUCUCUCUUUUUGUACUCUUGCUUGGUAUUGGUAGUUGCAACUUUUGUUUUAAAAUAUGUAACUAUCUGCAUGUUGUUUGAUGCAGGAUAAUGCGGUUAAUCUGUUAUGCACCUUGAUAGAUUUCUUCCCCUUCACAAUCCAUCGUCAUUAUGACUCUGUAAGUGCUUUAACAAAUAAUGUGAUAUUGAUUCUGUUUUAAAUUACAAUUUUGGAACUCUGGUAGCUUUCUGACUUUUCUGUUCACUGGUGAUGUAAUCUAAGCUUCCGAAGUUUGUUAUUAUUAUCGUUAUUAUUUUUAAUUUGAUUUAGUUUAAUUUUUUUCCUUCACAAAAAAACUGCUAUAAAAAACUGGAAAGAGAGUGUUUGUAUUACCAUUAGAAGCUGAAAUAAUUAAAUUUUCUCCCAUAAUUGCACUCAACAUCUUCAGCACAUAUGGCUUCAUGCUGUCACUUGUCAGCAUGUUGUUUAUCUAUAGAUCACUAUCUUUGUAAUUCAAAAACUGACAAAGUUUAAAUUCCAUGCCAAAUAGAAAAAAAGGAUUUAUGUUGAAAUAGUUGAUUUUGUUUCUUCCUGAUGAAUUGGAUAUAUUCUAUAGGCCGAAGCUGCAAUUGUUUCAAAAAUAUUUUCAGGGAAGUGUAGUUCUAACAUGCUGAAGGUACUGUGCCUCUUAUGUAGUUUUAAUCAUAGUACAGUAGAUAUUAACGUCAAAUGUCCCCCAUAAUUUUCUCUGUGUUUUAUAUUUCAAAUUUAGAAGCUUGCCCAUUGCCUGGCAUCACUUCCAAAAUCAAAAGGAGACGAAGAUAGCUGGUCUUUACUAAUUCAGAAGAUUUUGUUAUCCAUCAAUAGUCACUUGAAUGAGGCCUUCCAAGGCAUCGGUGAAGGUAUACUGAACUGUAAAACAAGUAAAGCUAUCUCAAUUUAUGAAAAUGGUGACAAUGAUGCAUUUGAAUGUUUUUUGUAGAUUCAAAAGGCAUUGAAGUUGUAAGGUUACUGAUUCUACCAGGAAAAGAUCCUCCACCACCUUUAGGUUGUUGUUCACAAUCAGAAGGUUCCUUGGACAAAAUAAAAAAGAGCUCAGAGCGGAUGUUAACAUCUAGUAUUUCAACCUUGAUGGUUUGCUGUUCCACAAUGAUAACAAGUUCAUACAACCAUCAGGUAGCAACACGUCAUCCAUUUUUUUGUUAUGCUCAUAUUAAAAGAGGAAAUGUUCCCCUCUAUAUGAAUCUAUAUACAUCUACUGUGACACCUCACUUUCUUAAUUAAUAUAAUGAAAUAAAGAAAGUGGUGUUAAAUUGAUCUUUAUUUGUAUUAUAUCAGGUGGCAGUUCCCAUUCGCCCGUUAUUAGCUCUUGUUGAGAGAGUGCUGACGAUGGAUGGUUCUUUGCCACCCACUUCAGUGCCAUUUAUGACAUCUCUGCAGCAAGAAUCAAUGUGUUUAGAACUUCCGGUGCUGCAUUCAGUCAGUUUGGAUCUCCUCGUUGCCAUCAUUAAGAGCCUUCGCAGGUGAGGCAUCUACUAUUCAACUACACGGACUAUAUACCAUAAAACCUUUAUGCAGACCCAGACUUUUUCAGUAAUCAAUACCCAUCCAUAAACAUAUCACAUGUGCUUUCUUCCACCUCUACAAGAUGCGAUCAACAAUGAUCUUUCAUGUUUAUAUGAAUACGAAAAUGAUCCAAUGGUAUACAAAGUUUCCACUUAGAUAAGUUGGGAAGAAAAUGUGUGAAGUCUAGCCUGUCAAUUGCCACUGAAAAAAAUAUGGAUGCCAUAUUUUUGUUUAUAUAAUUAUUAUUAAAUUCCUUUUCAGUCAAUUGUUGCCACAUGCUGCAUCAAUUGUACGACUCAUUGUGAAGUACUUCAAGAAGUGUGUCUCUGCAGAACUGAGAGUAAAAGUCUACGCAGUUGCUAAGUCAUUGAUGACGUCUUUGGGUGUUGGUAAGAAUUAUAUUGUGUUUCAUUUGGCAUGGAGAUAAUUAUAAUUAUUGUUUUAAUGUCUAUAUGGAAACAUUGUUUUGGGAUGUAUACUUAUUCAAUGCCGCAUUUGAAUCAGGAAUGGCUGCAUCUCUUUCUCGAGAUGUGAUUGACAAUGUACUAGGUGAUUUGAACCCUGUAAAUAAUGAGAGUUCUGAUCCAUCUAAUGUGAAUCCAAAGGACACGCAAAGAGAUUUACCGCAACACCAUAAUAAGAGAAAACGCCCUUCAGUUCCCACUUCCAUGAAAGCGGCAGCACGAGAGGAAUGAACCAGAGGACAUUACCAGCAGCUGUAGCUAUACCUCAGUCCACUUGAGGAUAGCUGCACUUGAGGCUUUGAAGACUCUUCUUACAUCGGUGGGCAUUAUAUAUGUUAUUUGUCUCUUUGGUUAAUUAUUUUGCAUACGAAUUUAUUAAAAAAAGUUAUUAAUGGGAAUAUUUUUGGUUCAUUUGUGUCAAAUGGUUUUUAACUGCUGACUGCUUUAUUUAUUUAUUUGUUUGUUUGUUUUUCGUUGAUUAUUUGUAUAGGCUGGUGCUUUGAGAUCUGAAGAAGGAUGGCGUGCAAAAGUUGAACAUCUUUUAAUAACAACUGCAACAUCUUCUCUUCAAUGGCCACGAGCCUCGGACGACACCUUUUUCCAAGCCAAUGAAUCUAUUGAGGUUUGGGUGGAUUAUCAGUUGGCGGCAUUUCAUGCACUACUGGCUUCUUUUUUGUCUGCUGUCCAUGUACGCCCACUGGCUUUGGCUCAAGGUCUCGAGCUCUUUCGUAAAGGUAAAUCUCUUUUGAUAUUUCGUUUGAUCAUGUGGAAGGCUGGGUUUGAGAACGAGGAUGCUAGAUCACCUUAUUUAUGAGUCAAACUGAUAGGCAUUUUCUUCUUCAGGUAAACAAGAAAAUGGAACCAAACUUGGUGAGUUUUGUGCCCAUGCUCUCUUAGCCAUGGAGGUUCUAAUACAUCCGAGGGUCCUUCCCCUCUCGGAUUUCUUGCCAUUGCGCUUGAGCUCUCCUGAACCACAAGCUGCCUUUAAAUUCCAGGAAGAUCUGUACUUCAACAGUAACGAUUCUAGGAAAUUGUUGAAGGUCGGCCCGCAAAGCAUGGAGCAGAUGGCCUCCGAGGCUCUAAUUAGUGAUGAUGUGGUAGAUAACAAUGAAAUGACGUAUAGCACCUCAAAUGAUAUUGAAAAGGAGCCCUCUGCAAAUGGCAUAGCGAAUAUAGAAAUGCCCAAGAGAACCGAACAGGCCACUGCAGCAGCCAUCUCAGAAGUAGGGGUUGUAGCGGAAGAUGACGUUGAAUUUGCUAAUGCAAGUAUGAAUAGUUCCCCCAUGUCAUCAAAAUCAGAUAAAAUCGAAGAUUUUGGACGGGAUUCGAGCUCGAAUUUAUUGCUAGAAGAUGACUUUCCUGAUAUUAUUGAUGCAGAUCCUGAUACAGACUAUGAAGAGUGAAAAAGGUAUUGUCAAUCAUUGACUCAAUUUUGUAGUUUUAAGGCUUAAGGGUGUUGUUCAGAACUCAAAAUCAAUUAUUAUUGUUGUGUUCUAUUCAUGUAGCCAUAGAUGGCUUGAACUGAUGAUCGAGAAUGGUUAUGUAUAUAAAAAGGUGAAAGUUAGACAAAUUUCAAAAGCUUUGAUUGCUAGUUUCUGAUAAAUUUUCUUUCAAUCAUUUUUAUUUUUUUUCAUUCUUAGAUAAUGGGGUGCCGAUUUGCAAUAUACGUUAGGACAACGAUUAGAUGCAUUAUAGAAUAUACCAUCUUUUAAGUAAUGGUAUUAGAUACGGUAGGACAACGAUUAGAUGUAUUAUAGAAUAUACCAUCUCGUAAGUAAUAUGGUAUCUUUUUGAAGUCCUAAAAUGUUGAGGGAUAAAUUUGUGGGUAUUACAAUCUCGAGAUGUAGUUAAGAUCAACAAUAUCUAAAUAGGCAAUUAAAUAAACAAUGUCUAAAUAGACGAUUAAAUGAACCCUUUAGAAAGAGAGGCAAAAAUAAAAUGACAGAGUGAAGUUUCUUUAAAAAAACUUUUUAAAAAUUAUUGUUUUGAUAAUAACUGAUCGUAGUUAACUACUAGUGCUCAGUCUCUUUUUACAUCUUACUCUAACUUAUCAUCAUGUUUGAAUCAAUUUUUAACUUAUCAUCAUGUUUGAAUCAAUUUUAGGGUUAAGUGAAUGUCAAGUGAAUGUAUUUUGUUCUUACAACAUAUGUGUUAGUGAAUGUAUUUUGUUCAAACUCAAUUAAUUUAGGAAAAAUGUUUUAAAUAAAAAACUAUUUAAAACAUUUACAAAUAUUAAAAUUUAUAUGUUUAUUAGUAUUUUUGUUAAUUAAUUUUGAAAUUUUAGUCUGUUUUGUAAAUAUGGUUUAUUUUGCUAUUUUGAAAACAAUCCAUUUGAAUGUUGUUUUGUUUAAAUUAUUAGAAUUGUAUUAUUGGAUAAAUAGACAUUUUAAAAAAUAGCAAAAUAUUAAAACUAUUUAUACAAAAUUCCUCAAACUUUUCAUAUAUUUAAGUUUUUCUUUAAAAUUAUAUUUCAUAAAUAGUUUUUUUUUAUCCAUAACAAAUUUUCAUGAUAAAUGGUAAAGCAUAUUAAAUAUGUAAAUAGUUCAACUCAGUUAAUUGUAAUUUGGUCCAUAUCAUACUAAAAAAGUUAUAUGUAUGUUAUUUUAAAAGAGUUCAUAUCAUACAGUUUCUUAAAUUUUAGGUACCAAACUUAUAAGAUACAAAAAUCAAAGUUUAAAAAGAGUAAAAUUUUGGCAUUCUAUUUCUAGAAAAAAAACUCCUUAUAAUAAUUACUAGUAAAAAAAAAAGUUGGUUGAUUUUCAUUUUUUUUUUAAUCUCAACCUUUCAUGUUAAAACUUUAUAUAAAGAUUUUUUUUUUAAAUGACAAAUUUAACAGUAAGUCAAUUUGAUAAAUAUUGAUAGACAUUAAUAUGAUAAUAAAUAUGGAUAGAUAUUCAUAUGUUUUUAUCUGACAAUAAUAGAAGUUUAUUUAGUUUAUCUCGUUAAUAAAAUCUAAAAUGUUUGUCUAUGAUGAAUAUUUUAGUUUAUUUUUGUAUUUUAAAAAAUAUCCCUCCAAAAAACGUAAUUUUUUUCCACUAAAAGUUAUUAAAAUUUAAUAACAAGAGUUGGUGAAUUGCUACAUUGUUAUUUCAUUUAUAUGUCAUUUACAUCCCAUUGUAAUUUACAGAUUUUUUUUUUCAAAUGGUAUGGGUAAGUAAUCAGUGCGGUUUAGUGUAAGGAUUAGUUAUAUUCAAAUUAUAGCAAACUAUCUUAAUUUGAAACUUAACGGCGUCAACGACAAGCAACGGCGUCAACGACAAGCAACGGCUACAUUUUUAGGUUUAUUUACUUCAUUCAACUCUCAAAACAAUCUCCGUCGCCAAUUUCUCUCUAGAAUUUUCUUCUUCCGCCUCCGUGCACAGCGUCGAAUCUCCAAACCCUAAUUUAUAAAUGCAAUUCCGAUCCACAAAUUCUUAUGCUACCUCGAUCUCCUCUUUGGGAGCUUCUAUUCCCUAAUCUUUGAUGUCUUGCUUCGUCUGCGGUUGAGGAUCUCGGAGGACCGGAGUCACGGGAGGUCGCUGAUUUGGAUGAAGCCAUGAGUCGAUUGAUGCUCCCUUUUUCAUCUCCUAAGAAGAAUUCCAAAUCCUUGGAUGUGGCUGAUGCUGCUCCUGCCUAUCAUUUUUCAUCCGCUUGAUUUCCUUCCCUUUCUGGUUCAGCUUAUUCUGCUCUCGAUAGGGUUUCCGAGGAUGCUAUCAAUCAGGUUGAUCAGUUCCUUCGUGAGGCUUUGCAUAACCCUCGGGAGCGUCUAUCAAGUAAGUUGUUUAUUUAGCUUUCCUUUAUUGUAGAUGGUCAAUGGUGUGAUUGGUUUCAGGAGUUGUCUAAUGUCAUGUUCUGUAGAGGGAGGAGAUAGUUAAAAGUUGCUAGCUACGGCCUUCUCGAAGGUGGGCUGGAAGUGGCUGGUUGCUUCCCGGAUUUGUAUAGGCUUUUAGUUUGUUCUAGUCUUUCGAAUGCCUCAUUUAAAUCAAUGGUAUUAGAAAUUUAGAAGUAUUAUUGCCAAAAACUACAUGGUGGAUUUCAUGAAGAUGUGAUAUAUGUUUGGAACAGUAUCGUGAAACUAUGUGACAUGAUGUGCUUUUAGGUAAUCCAAGACAAAGGUUGGAUGGUUGUAAGACAAUCUUGGGAAGAUGUGUGGACUAGUGGAGGGUUUUUGGUUAACCGUUUUUCUAGUCGGUACAGGGGGUGGAUUCGAAGAAUUAAUUGCUGAAGGAGUUGUAGGACUUAAAAGCUGGGUUGCAAAAUGAAUGCAAGACGAAAUUUAGAAGAUGGAGAAGAAAGGGAGAUUUUGUUGCUAUUGGAUGUUCUGAAUACUUAGAGCUAAAUGAUGAAAAUAAAAUAAUUUACGAGCUAAACUUUUGCUGUGAUUGGCGAUGAAUUCCGUCAUGGGGGGAAGGCAUGCAGUCUCUGAUUAUCAUCCCCUUGGCCCUUAGGCUUUUUAAAUGAGGCUUUUUCCGUCUUAAUAAUAUUUCUUGUUUCUCAUCAAGAAGAUAAAUGGAGUUAUCUUUUCAGCCUACCAAGCAAAAUUGUUUCUAAAAAAAAAAACUAUCACUAUCUAAAAGCAUUAGGAAUUAAAUUUACUGUAGUCAAGAAGAUGCUCAGUAACUGGAAAGCAUUUUUUACCUGUUUUGACACUGAAGCUUCGUUAAACCAAAAAAAAAGGAGACAACCUAUUGGUAGAAAGGUCUUUACAAUGAUGUAUUGAUGCCUACAAAAUUAUUUUUUUUGUCUAACAUGGUUCUGACUAGUACCAUAACUUCAAGUGCUUAAUUAUUAUCAUGCACUUAUUAUAUUGUUGAAAACAUGGUGUUAAUUAUCUAUUCCCUUCAACUGAUAUUUAUUUAUCAUUGCUUUAGUUUUGCGCAUGGAGCAAGAUGUUGAAAAGUUUAUUCAUGAUCCUGCUUGACAGCAGCUGCCUACUUCAUAUUUACGGUUAGCUGCGCAUCAGAUUGUCCAACAUUACUCGCUGCAAUCCAUGGUUCUAUUGGAUAAUAGUUUACCUGAUGGGUCUGGUUCCAAAAUUAUCGUUUGCGAUACUUCUGAAUGUCGUCUUCCAGCUAUCCGCCUUGCAGAUAUUCCUGUAAAUCUACCAGCAGAGGAAUAUAGUAGCAUAAAGGUUGCUAUUAAACAGAGGCCACAGAAGUGGUCCCAACUAGCAAGAGAUGCAAGUGCAAAUUCAUCAAAAACGAGGGAUUCCAAAAGUGUGGAAGAGAGGAAAGAGGAGUAUAAUAAAGCUAGUGCUCAAAUAUUUAACUCCAGCAGCAAUUCAGGCUGUCAUGCAAGUGAGAAAGUAGAUGCUGAUCCUAGACCACAGGAUAGUUAUCGUGGUUGUUUGAGUGCUGCAAAGGUUGAGGAGAAGAUGAUUCUUGGAGUUCCUGAUAUAAAUUUUAGUAGGGGUUUGAUUGACUGUUCCACGAGUAGCAGUAGAAUAAAUAGAAGGUAGGACUGACAAGGAGCUGCCUAGUAGGCAGUACAAACCAAAUAGUAGGGUAGCCAUUCUUAGAGAUCGUGAGAUUGGCAGCAAGGACCCUGAUUAUGACAGGAGUUAUGAUAGGUAUGAAAUGCAAUCCUUUAUUCUCUUGGUUUGAUCUCAAUGUGUGUGUAUAUACAUAUAUAUUUGCAAAAUCUCUCGUUUAAAAGGUCUAUCCAAAAACAUGUUCUAAAAGUUUUCUCGCUUCAAACUCUGUUUACGAACUCUUUCCAAAACACUUCUUGGACAUUUCUCUUUGUUUUUGUUGUUUUUCUUUGAAAAAUAAGAUAUUUUACAAAACUUCUGAAAAACUGCAUGAGCAAGGAUGUUGGCCACACACAGGGCAAUGAGCAGCAAGGCAACAUGCACCAUGGUGCGCGGAAGAUGUUGUCUUGGUGCCAUCUUUGCACAUGCGGAAGCGAACUUUCAAAUGGCAUUUACAAAGCAUUGUGGAAAACACUUUUUUUUCUUCCUAUUUUCUUCUAGAAAGUCUUUCCAGAACAUAUGUAUAUAUAUGUGUGUGUAUAUACAUAUAUAUUUGCAAAAUCUCUCGUUUAAAAGGUCUAUACAAGAACAUGUUCUAAAAGUUUUCUCGCUUCAAAUUCUGUUUACGAACUCUUUCCAAAACACUUCUUGGACGUUUCUUUUUUUUUGUUUUUGUUUUUUUCUUUGAAAAAUAAGAUAUUUUACAAAACUUUUGAAAAACUGCAUGAGCAAGGAUGUUGCCACACACAGGGCAAUGAGCAGCAAGGCAACAUGCACCAUGGUGCGCGGAAGAUGUUGUCUUGGUGCCAUCUUUGCACAUGCGGAAGCGAACUUUCAAAUGGCAUUUACAAAACAUUGUGGAAAACACUUUUUUUUCUUCCUAUUUUCUUCUAGAAAGUCUUUCCAGAACAUAUGUAUAUAUAUGUGUGUGUAUAUACAUAUAUAUUUGCAAAAUCUCUCGUUUAAAAGGUCUAUACAAGAACAUGUUCUAAAAGUUUUCUCGCUUCAAAUUCUGUUUACGAACUCUUUCCAAACACUUCUUGGACGUUUCUUUUUGUUUUUGUUUUUGUUUUUUUCUUUGAAAAAAAAUAUUUUACAAAACUUUUGAAAAACUGCAUGAGCAAGGAUGUUGGCCACACACAGGGCAAUGAGCAGCAAGGCAACAUGCACCAUGGUGCGCGGAAGAUGUUGUCUUGGUGCCAUCUUUGCACAUGCGGAAGCGAACUUUCAAAUGGCAUUUACAAAACAUUGUGGAAAACACUUUUUUUUCUUCCUAUUUUCUUCUAGAAAGUCUUUCCAGAACAUAUGUAUAUAUAUGUGUGUGUAUAUACAUAUAUAUUUGCAAAAUCUCUCGUUUAAAAGGUCUAUACAAGAACAUGUUCUAAAAGUUUUCUCGCUUCAAAUUCUGUUUACGAACUCUUUCCAAAACACUUCUUGGACGUUUCUUUUGUUUUUGUUUUUGUUUUUUUCUUUGAAAAAUAAGAUAUUUUACAAAACUUUUGAAAAACUGCAUGAGCAAGGAUGUUGGCCACACACAGGGCAAUGAGCAGCAAGGCAACAUGCACCAUGGUGCGCGGAAGAUGUUGUCUUGGUGCCAUCUUUGCACAUGCGCGAACUUUCAAAUGGCAUUUACAAAACAUUGUGGAAAACACUUUUUUUUCUUCCUAUUUUCUUCUAGAAAGUCUUUCCAGAACAUAUGUAUAUAUAUGUGUGUGUAUAUACAUAUAUUUGCAAAAUCUCUCGUUUAAACAGUCUAUCUAAAAUUAUUUUCUAAAGGUUUUAUCGCUUUAAAUUCUAUUUACGAACUCUUUCCAACAUAUUUCUUGAAUUGUUGUCUUCCUUUGCGGUUUUGUUUUGUUUUCCUCAAAAAGAUGAUAUUUCACAUAACUUUCGAUAAACUGCACGAGCAAGGGUAUUGGCCACACAGGGCAAAUUUUAUUUUAAAAGGCCUAUCCAUUAACAGUUUCUAAAAGUUUUCUCACUUCAAAUUUUGUUUUUAAAAUCGUUUCAGAAUCUUUUCUUGAAGUUUCGUCUUCAACUUUUUUUAUAAAGAAAAAAAAAACAUUUCAUUCAACUUUCAAUAUACUCGGCGAGCAAGACAGCAUACAGUCGAUGUGUGGAAGACACAGCCUUGGUGCCACUAUGGCACAGGCAGUCAAACAAACUUACAUAAUAUUGUCUUACCUUUUUUCUCUUCUUUUUUUUUCUCUAAAAAACUCUUUCCAAAACACAUUUUCAAUUUAGAAAAAACACAUUCUCUCCAAUGUAGAUUUUGCAAAAUAAAUUCUGUGUAUAAAUAUUACUUGAGAGUGAAUUUUCACUUUUGUGUUUUUUCUAUAUCUUACAUUUAUCUCUUCAUGAUUAUUGGAUAUGUGCUGUAACUUUUCUCGUAUGUUUCCAUAUAAAUUACAAAUGUUGUAUAACAUUUAUCAAUGUAGAAAAAAUCUUAGGUGAUUAAAGGAAAGUUGAUUGUCCAGAAAUUACUUUUUCCUAUUUCAUCAUCAACCGACCUCAAGGCCUCCUAUGGUUGUUCUAUUUUUCAUUUUUAUUUUCUUGAAAUUAAGUCUAUAAACGCUCAUUCUACCUUUAGUUAUACGUUCUAAAAUUAUAUUAUAUUUUAGUUUGACUUCUUGUAUAUUAUUAUUUUGGUACAUUUCUACCAUUUCUACAUUUUAUUUGCACAUAAUUAUAUGUUCUUUUUAUAAUGAUAGAUAACUUCUUUGUUACAAUGUCCAGUUAUUUGACAAUCAUUCAUUUCUAGUUCUGAUUAAUUUUUCUUUGUUAUCACGGGGCACUUUACAGGUAUUUUUAUUUUACUUCUUUUGAUGGAUUUAUUUUUCUUUAGUUUUUCUUCCAACAUUUUCUCUCUCAUCUUUUUCUACUUUUCUUAAGUAUAUUAUUAAAUUUUAUAUCUCUGGAGUCUUGGUAGAAGUUAUUUAUUUUUGCGGUAGGGGUGAUUUCUCUUUUUUGCCCAUUCUGUUUUCUUGGUUCUCUUUCUUUUUUUAUACAAUGGUAACUGAAACAUUCAAAGCCUUGCUUUCGGCUUCCCUAGCUAGCCACAGUGAUGUAUUAUAUGCAAAUGGCAGUUUUCCUUUGGACACUGAGAAAAGGCAAAUGCAAAUGGCAACUGCACGGUACACCUUACAGGACAGUUUUUGAUGCUUUUGCAGGUAAUUUGUAUUAGUUGUGUUAUGUCUGGAAGUGAUUUUAUAUUAUUAUAGUUGUACUAGAUGUUCUAUCCUUGGGACGCAGAGAAAAGGCAAAUGCAAAUGAAGAGUACACACUGUCCUGGAUGAUACUUUGCAGGUAAUUUGUAUUAGUUGUUAUGUCUGGAAGCGAUUUUAUAUUAUCAUAUUGUUAGUUGUUAUAAGUAAUUCUGAAGUCUGACAAUGAUUAUUUAGAGUGAAAUCUGGGCAGGUUUGUUGGAGACAAACCGUCUGACAUACAUGAUUUAUGUUCUUUGUAGUUCUGUGCUCAUUGCCUAUGUGAGUAUAGUCUACUUUCUUGUCCUCACAAUCUUUUCCCAACCUUUUCAUGUCUUUCAUAUUUUGAACUGCAUUCAUGGUUUUCGUAUAACUAUAAUAGACGCUCUUAUUCUUUUACUGUGAAACCACUUUUAGUUAUCUAUUUGCAAUAUGCUGUAUGUUCUAUUAGACAGCUACUUGUAGGAGUAUAGAUGAUGAAAUAAACAGAUUUAUUUUGUUAGACGAAAUCUAGUUGAGGAAUUUGACGUUUUUCUUCCUUUAUGUAAAAUCCUAAUAUUAGAAAACUAAGCAAAAGCAGAAAUAGUUUGCAGAGCUGUAGCUUAGGAAUUAUUUUCCUCAAUUUGACUUGAUGUUUGACGCAGGUAUAUGGAUGGGUGAUGGAUAUAUUGCUUUUGAGUGAUUUUUCACUUUUGUAUUCAUUUCUCUUUACCAUUACGGGAUCUGUCUUAUAACCUUUCUCAUGAUUUUCUACGUGAAUUGCAAUUGUUGUAUAAUAUUUUAUCAUAUUAGAAAGAUAUGAGGUGAUUAAAGAAAAAUUGAUUGUCCGGAAAUCAAUUUUUCUUAUUACACCUCAUGUCAAUGCCCAAAUUCCAUAACCAUUUGGUUAUUGUUAUCUUAAAAUUUUGAAAAUUGAGUCUAUAAACACUCAUUCUACUAGAAUUAUAUCAUAUUCUUUAGUUUGAUAUCUUGUAUAUUAUUAUUUUGGUACAUUUCUUUUGUCUUAUUCGCACCAAAUACCACGUUUCUUUGUUUGUUUGCAUGUGGUGCUUUCAAGGUAUUUUUCCUUUACCUCUGUUGACAAAAAAAUAUUUUGUGUACUUCUUCUUGGUACAUUUUCCUUUUCUUCUCAUCAUUUGCUACUUUAUUUUAAAGUAGAUUAUGAAAUUUUAUUUAUUUAUUUUUGGUGGAUGAAUUUUUGUUUUUGUUUUUGUUUUUUUUUGCCAUUUAUGAUCUCUUGUUGGUUCUUUUUCUUUUUUGAUGUUAGUUUUUUUAGUUUUGGAUUUGAAUUGAUAUUUACUCCUUUUGAAUGUGGUCUUUUAUGAGAAGGUAAAAAAAUUUAUCUUACUUUUUAAUGCCAUUCAUUGUAAUUUUAUUUUUGGUAUCUUUUUUUUUUACUUCACUUGUGUAAUUUAUUUUUCUUGGAUGGUGAAAUUUUUUUCACCAUUUAGCUGUGUUUAGUUUCUUUUUAUGUUACAUUCUUAUUUUGUUUGCUUUCUCUAGUUUUAUUUUGUUUUUUUUUUCAAUUAUUUGUAAUUUGUUUUACCAUUUUUAUAAUAUUAUUUUCUUUAGGUCUAUUAUUAUCAGAUAUAUAUUUUGUGGUCAUGGUAGAUUUUUUCAUUAAGGAUAUUUUUUUAAAUUGCAAAAUAAAUUAAAAUAUUUAGUCUAUUGUAAAAUUUUGAAUUCUAUCAACGAUAAAAAUGAUAGACAUUUAUCACUGUCUAUUAUUGUUUAUUAUUGAUAGAAUCUAAAAUUUUGCUAUAUGUUGUAAAUAUUUUGUCAAAUUUGUCAUUUUUGACAUUUUCACUUUUCAUUAUCGUCAUGGAUUCUCUUUUUUCACACUUCGUCUCUUUUCUUUUAUUUAACCUUUCUUUAUGAAAUGUUGUAUCUUUCUGCUUUUCUCUCAAGUGAAAUAUUAGAUUUGGUACUUUUUCUUUUACUCAUUUGGUACAUUUCUUGUUGAACCAAGGUAUAAUUUGUUCUUCUUUGAUGGUUCAAAAUAAUCACUCUACGUUUGACUUUGGUUCUUUUAUUAUCUGGCACAACUUUUAUAUAUAGUUAUUUUCUUUGGUAAAUUUAUUAUAUUAUUAGAUAUAUUAAUUUGUUAGUUUUGUGUACUAUCCAAGGCAGUAAAGAAGUGUAGAAUGACAACUCCUUUCUAUUUUCUAAUUCACUUUUACAAAUAUUAGUUUUAGUAGUUUUUUAUUUUACUCAUUUGGUCAUAUAUUUCUUUUCUUUUGGAAUGGAUGUGUAAUUUUAUUUUUGUUGGAUGGUUUGAAAUAUUUAGGUUCAUGUUGUCAUUCUUCUAGUUUUAUUUUUGAAUAAUUAUAAUUUGUGACAAUUUUUAGAAUAAUGACUAAGUGUAGUAAUUAGAGGUUUAAGAAUAACUUGGGUAAUCCGACAACUUGGAUUAUCCAAUCCAUAUUAUAUGGGUUGGGUUGGGUUAGGUUAAAAUAUGGAUUGGAUUGGAUUGGGUUGGGUUGAAAAAAUGAAUUUUUUUUAGUUGGGUUUAGUCUCGGGUUGUAAGGUUGAAAAAUUCGAUCAUAUAUAUAUAUAUAUAUAUAUAUAUAAAUAAAUAUUCCUCUCUUCUCACUCUCAAUCCUCCUUUGCGCGUCGCAUCCCUUUUAUUCUCACAUCUCCUACGUCUUCGACAUCUCCUUCGUCUCUGACUUUCCUUCAUCUCUGACUCUCCUUGUCCUACUUAUCCCGCGCAUUCCUUAUAUUAUCACAUCUCCUCCGUCUUCGACAUCUUCAUUUCUAACUCUCCUCUAUCUUUGAUCUUCACAGUUCAUCUCGUUAGAUCUCAGAUCUCAUAUACUCGCAGUUCGACGUCAUGUUCUUCUUUGUCAAUCUCUUCAGCUUCUGAAUAACCCGACAAUCCAAUUUAUAUUUUAUGGGUUGGUUUAGAAACUUGAUUUAACCCAAAUAACCUAAAAGUAUGGGUUUGGUUGAGAUGUUUCUCAACCCAACCUUACUACACCCUUAACAGCAACUUUUUUAAAAAUUGCAGAUAUAGCAAAAUUCUUUAGUGAUAAACUUCUAUCGCUCAUAGAUUAUUAUGGUCUAUCAUGAUUGAUUUUGACAGAUUUUGCUUUAUUUGUAAAUUUUUUAAAAUGUUGCUAUAUAUUUAAUUAUUUUAAAUUUAAUUACUAUAUUUGCAACUAUUCUUUUAUUUUGUGUGGUUCUUCUAUUAUUUGGUACACUUUAUAUAUUAUUAUUUUCUUUGGUUUUAUUAUAUUAUGAGAUAUAUUCUGUUAAUUUUGUGCAAAAUACUCUACACAUAUUUUACUUGCUAUAUGUUUCUUUUCUUUGAUUCUUCCAUUUAUCUUUUAAUUCUCUUUUGAAUAUUUAUUUUCUUGAAAAUCUUGGAUUGUAUUUUGUGGAUUUUUUUUCUUAACGUGCACUUCAUCUUUUGAGGUCAAAUGUUUAAUCUAUCAUUUGAUUUAUGUAUCAUGGUCUUAUUUAAGAACGGAAGAGUUCACUACAUGUGAAAAAUCAAGACUCUGUUUACGAACUCUUUCCAAAACACUUCUUGGACGUUUCUUUUUGUUUUUGUUUUUGUUUUUUUCUUUGAAAAAUAAGAUAUUUUACAAAACUUUUGAAAAACUGCAUGAGCAAGGAUGUUGGCCACACACAGGGCAAUGAGCAGCAAGGCAACAUGCACCAUGGUGCGCGGAAGAUGUUGUCUUGGUGCCAUCUUUGCACAUGCGGAAGCGAACUUUCAAAUGGCAUUUACAAAACAUUGGGGAAAACACUUUUUUUUCUUCCUAUUUUCUUCUAGAAAGUCUUUCCAGAACAUAUGUAUAUAUAUGUGUGUGUAUAUACAUAUAUAUUUGCAAAAUCUCUCGUUUAAAAGGUCUAUACAAGAACAUGUUCUAAAAGUUUU